rnacentral:lncRNA from 10 species
CACGGCUUAAGAGAUGACCCAAAUGGAGCUUCCCUGUAGAACAAGACCUUUCCAACCUCUGCUUGAACCCUUCUGGUAACAGAGAACUCACUACGUUACAAAGCCUCAUCCUCUAGAGUCAGGUCCCACAGCAAUUACUGCCCCACUCCGGGCUCAAGGAAGAAAGCAGUUCAGCAUGAAGUAAACCAGCUGGAGCCCCAGUGUCAAAAAUAAAGAUCUAAAAUAUGUGUUCUUGGUAAAAUUAAGUUUUAGUCAUCUAUAGCCUUUAAGUGCUCUGGAUGACCUCCAGCUGCUCAGCUAGAAGAAGGUCUAUAAAUGCAUGAUGUUACUUUCUUUACUGAGUGGUUAAAAUUAGUAUUUGUCUUAGGGCUAUGCUGAAUAAUUACAGUUAAUUGAAUUACAGAAAUAGCUACAUAUAAUAUAUAUUUUUAAUAGAAAUAAUGGGUAUGGCCAUUUUGUUUGGCUUUAAAGCUCCUUGCAAUAUGAUUUUAGUAAAUGUGAGGGUUGAAAGUCUUUCAUACCACUAGAGACUGUGGCAUGAAAAUGCUUCACUUUUUUUUCUUUUUACCCAGAUUUAGUUCUAUGAUUUUAACACAUUUGAAUUUGACCCAUGAGGAAUCUCUGAAUAUUUUCAUUACAUUACCAAACAAUUGUUACAAAGUUUAAAACCAUAUGUAGUAAAUAAUAGUACAGAUAACAUGCAUAUGUAGCUAAUUUUGUUGGUCGGUCAGUUUGUGCCAGGCCUUAUUCUAAAUACUUUUUGUGAAUCAACUCAUCUAAUCCUCACAACAUCUCUAGGAGCAAGUACUAUUCUUAUUUGCACUUUGUAGAUGAGAAAAUAUGGCCCAGAGAGGUUAAGCAAUUUGCUCAAGGCCAAACAGCUAGUGAGCUGCAGAGCCAAGGUACUAAUCUAGAAACUCUGGGCUGUAGAGUCUGCAUCUUAACCACCAGGCUCUAUUGCUUACCAUGUGCCAGCUAUUGGCUAAAUGCUUAAUCCUCAUAAACCCUAUGGAUUGAUGCUACCAUUAUGAUCCCCAUUUAAUAAUGAGGGAGCAGGCCCAACUAAGAUGACUCUGCUAGCAAGUGGUUGAACCAGGCUUUUAAACUCAGUCCUGAGAUCUUAAAUACCACCCACUACUGCCUCCUAGAAGAGAUGGUAGGCUUAUUUUUUCAAUCUCAUAUAGCAUUAGAGAUUAAAUAGAUUUUAAAGAAAUGAGAAAUGAUUUACUCAAAGAGUACAGUGAUUAUUUGGUCAAAAUCAUCUAAAAUAUUUAAAU